UGUGCGCCUAACUUUGAUAUAGAGAUGGAUAUAGAGAGACGAAACCCUACAUAAAUCCAUGGAACUUCUCGUGAACUUCUGUAAUGAAGACACGGGAAAGAGCUUCACAGUCCAUCUCCACAAAGCUCUCACCGAUCACGGUAUCUCCACCUUCUUCUCACCCACAUCACAGCAACAGCAGCAACCGAAUGAUACACAGAGAGCCAUUGAAAAAUGCGAGGUGUUUGUCGCCGUUGUUUCCCCCAUUUAUGCUUCUUCUUUCUUCUGCCUUGACCAGCUCUCUUAUUUACUGACUUUGCCAAGGACGCCGGUCAUCCUUCCUGUGUUUUAUAAUGUGGAGCCAUCGCAUGUUUGCUGGCAAAAGGGGCCUUCGAGGGAGCUUUUUUGGAUCACAGAACUAAGAAUGGGUUUGAUGAGGAGACAGUGCAGAGGUGGAGAAAUGGAAGCAUCUCGAACAUACGGUGGAUUUGUCACCUUAGAAAAGCAACUUCUUAAGGAUCUUUUCAACGAGGGAGAUCACCCUAUAAAUGAUGUUGAUAGAGGUAUCAAUGUUUUGAGGAAUAUAAUUGGGUCUAAGAAAGUUCUUGUGAUAGAGUGCGUAAGGGUCAUAUCUACAAUAGACGGGUUGGAUGACACACAAUCUCUUGAAUUGUUUAGUUGGUGCGCAUUUGGGAGGGAUCAACCCAUGCAAGAACAUGCAAAGUUCUCGAAGGAUAUGGUGUCCACUGCUGGUGGGCUUCCACUGGCGCUUGAAGUGUUGGGAAGUCACUUAUGGGAUAAGACGACCAUUGACGAGUGGGAAGAUGCAGUAAAAAAGUUGAAAAGAAUUCCUGAAGAUGACAUCACGCUAAAGCUUAGGAUAAGUUAUGAUAAUUUGAAUGAAGAAGAGAAACAUAUAUUUCUUGACAUUGCAUGCUUCUUUAUUGGAGAAACAAAAGAUUAUACAAUCGAUAUAUGGAAAGGUUGUGGUUUCCCUGCUUCAAUUUCCAUAAAAAAACUAUUGCAGAGGUCACUUAUGAAGAUUGAUGUUAAGGAUAGGUUGCAGAUGCAUGAUCAACUUCGUGAUAUGGGGAGAUGGAUUGUUGAACUAGAAAAUCUGUGUGAUCCUGGAAGGCAUAGGAGGUUGUGGUCUGAAGAACAUGUUAUUAAUGUAUUCAAGUAUCUCAAGGGAAUUUAUAAGGUUCGAGGCCUAAUGCUCGUGGGGAAUGAAAGGGAGGUCAGUUGGGAAACCGAAGCAUUUAAACCAAUGACCAAUUUGAAGCUACUCAGCAUUAAUCGAGCAUCUCUUGUUGGAAACUUCAGAUACCUUUCAUCAGAACUGGUGUGGCUACAAUGGCCUCGAUGUCCUUUACCAUACCUCCCAAAUGAUUUUAGCCAUGAAGAGCUAGCUGUCCUUGACUUGUCAUAUAGUGAGGCUGUCCUUCACUUAUCAAACAACAACAUCAAGCAGCUCUUCCCAAAGUUUAAGGUUCUUGAUCUCAGCUAUUGCCACAACCUAGAGAGAAUUUCCGACUGUUCUCUGUACCCAAACUUGGAGAAGUUAAAUCUUGUUGGAUGCUGCAAGUUGGUUGAGAUUCCUGACUUCAUAGGCCUUCUAAAGAAUUUAUUUAAUCUGAAUCUUGGAGGAUUCGACAACCUCAAGGAACUGCCAAAUUCGCUUGGCUCACUAGUGAACCUUAAGGGGUUGAAUGUGAGUGGCUGCAAAGGUACUCAAUAGAUUCCCAUCAUCAAUGGGAAAGAUAAGGUCCCUGAGUUAUCUAUGAUGAAUAAUACUGCUAUAACAACAUUGCCUGAUGAUUUUGAACUUCUUCAUGGCUUGAAAAAGUUGAAUAUGUGGGAGUGUAGACAGUUGAAAGAGUUCCCAAAAAGCUUUGGAAGUCUUACAAGUUUUCCGACACUCAAUAUAAGCUUCAGCACGAGUUUGGCAAGGCUUCUGCCCACUUUCUCAGGUCUUUGCUCCUUGGAGGAAUUGAAUGCUAAGUAUUGUGACCUGCAGGGGAUGAUUCCUGAUGACUUUGAAAAGUUCUCCUCAUUGAAAAAGUUUAAUAUCAGCCACAACAAUAUCCAAGGCCUGCCCAGUGGCAUGAAAGGCCUCUCUCAACUAGAAACACUAUCUAUCCGAUAUUGUGAGUAGCUGGUAACUAUUCUUAAGCUCCCCCCAAGUUUGAAACAUCUGGAUGCCUUCGGAUGCAAAUGAUUGCAAACCAUGGCCAUGUUAUCUCACCUUUCUGAACUACGAGAGCUGCGUUUACAUGAUUGUAAGCAGUUGGUAGCUAUCCUUGAGCUCCCCACUAGUUUGAAACAUUUGGAUGCUUUCGAAUGCAAAAGGUUGAAACCAUUGCCAUGUUAUCUCACCUUACAUGAUUGUGAGCAGUUGGUAGUUAUCCCUGAGCUCCCUAGCAGUUUGAAAUAUUUGGAUGUUUCUGGAUGCAAACAGUUGCAAACCAUCGCCACGCUCUCUCAUAUUUCUGAACUACGAGAGCUGCAUUUAUGUGCGUGUGAGUAGCUGGUAGCUAUCCCUGAGCUCCCCACAAGUUUAGAAUAUCGUAAUGAUUCCAAAUGCGACUGUUUGAAAACUAUACCCAAGCUAUCUCACUUUUCUAAACUAAGAGAGCUGUGUUUAUAUACUUGUGGGCAGCUGGUAGCUCUCCCUAAGCCCCCCACCAGAUUAAGAUCUCUUGUUGCUUUUUACUAUGAUUCAUUGUAAACCA